rnacentral:rRNA from 1 species
CAAUAGCGUAUAUUAAAGUUGUUGCAGUUAAAAGCUCGUAGUCGGAUUUCGGGUCGGGCCGAGCGGUCUGCCGAUGGGUAUGCACUGUUUGGCGCGGCCUUCUUUCCGGAGACCGCGGCUACUCUUAACUGAGCGGGCGUGGGAGACGGAUCGUUUACUUUGAAAAAUCAGAGUGUUUCUAGCAGGCAGCUCGCUCUUGCAUAGGUUAGCAUGGAAUAAUAGAAUAGGACUUUGGUUCUAUUUUGUUGGUUUCUAGGACCGAAGUAAUGAUUAAUAGGGACAGUUGGGGGCAUUUUUAUUCCAUUGUCAGAGGUGAAAUUCUUGGAUUAACGGAAGAAAACUACUGCGAAAGCAUCUGCCAAGGAUGUUUUCAUUGAUCAAGAACGAAAGUUAGGGGAUCGAAGACGAUUAGAUACC